rnacentral:rRNA from 1 species
GAUGAACGCUGGCGGCGUGCCUAAUACAUGCAAGUCGAACGGAAAGGCCAUGAUCUUGUGGCGCGCUCGUUUGGCGCACGGGGGAGUAACACGUGUGUAAACUGUACCUGACUUUGGGAUAACAUCAGGAAACUGGGGCUCUUACCGGAUAGGAGCUACUGCUGCAUGUUGGGGGUUGGAAAGUUUCGGCGGUUGGGGAUGGACUCGCGGCUUAUCCGCUUGUUGGUGGGGUAGUGGAUUACCAAGGCUUUGACGGGUAGCCGGCCUGAGAGGGUGACCGGCCACAUUGGGACUGAGAGACGGCCCAGACGCCAACGGGAGGCAGCGGUGGGGAGUAUGACGGAAUGGGCGGAAGCCAGAUGCAGCAGCGCCGCGUGCGGGAUGACGGGCUUCGGGUGAUAAACCGCUUUCGCCUGAGACGAGGCGUGAGUGACGGUAAUGGGUAAAGAAGCACCGGCUAACUACGUG